rnacentral:rRNA from 1 species
AUUGAACGCUGGCGGCAGGCCUAACACAUGCAAGUCGAACGGCAGCGGGGGGUAGCUUGCUACCCCGCCGGCGAGUGGCGGACGGGUGAGUAAUGCCUGGGGAGCUGCCCAAUCGAGGGGGAUACCAGUUGGAAACGACUGCUAAUACCGCAUACGCCCUGAGGGGGAAAGGUGGGGAUCUUCGGACCUACCGCGAUUGGAUGCACCCAGGUGGGAUUAGCUAGUUGGUGAGGUAACGACUCACCAAGGCGACGAUCUCUAGCUGGUCUGAGAGGAUGACCAGCCACACUGGAAAUGAGACACGGUCCAGACUCCUACGGGAGGCAGCAGUGGGGAAUAUUGCACAAUGGGGGAAACCCUGAUGCAGCCAUGCCGCGUGUGUGAAGAAGGCCUUCGGGUUGUAAAGCACUUUCAGCGAGGAGGAAAGGUUGGCAGCUAAUACCUGUCAGCUGUGACGUUACUCGCAGAAGAAGCACCGGCUAACUCCGUGCCAGCAGCCGCCGUAA